UUAAGCGACUAAGCGUACACGGUGGAUGCCCUGGCAGUCAGAGGCGAUGAAGGACGUGCUAAUCUGCGAUAAGCGUCGGUAAGGUGAUAUGAACCGUUAUAACCGGCGAUUUCCGAAUGGGGAAACCCAGUGUGUUUCGACACACUAUCAUUAACUGAAUCCAUAGGUUAAUGAGGCGAACCGGGGGAACUGAAACAUCUAAGUACCCCGAGGAAAAGAAAUCAACCGAGAUUCCCCCAGUAGCGGCGAGCGAACGGGGAGCAGCCCAGAGCCUGAAUCAGUGUGUGUGUUAGUGGAAGCGUCUGGAAAGGCGCGCGAUACAGGGUGACAGCCCCGUACACAAAAAUGCACAUGCUGUGAGCUCGAUGAGUAGGGCGGGACACGUGGUAUCCUGUCUGAAUAUGGGGGACCAUCCUCCAAGGCUAAAUACUCCUGACUGACCGAUAGUGAACCAGUACCGUGAGGGAAAGGCGAAAAGAACCCCGGCGAGGGGAGUGAAAAAGAACCUGAAACCGUGUACGUACAAGCAGUGGGAGCCUCUUUAUGGGGUGACUGCGUACCUUUUGUAUAAUGGGUCAGCGACUUAUAUUCUGUAGCAAGGUUAACCGAAUAGGGGAGCCGAAGGGAAACCGAGUCUUAACUGGGCGUUAAGUUGCAGGGUAUAGACCCGAAACCCGGUGAUCUAGCCAUGGGCAGGUUGAAGGUUGGGUAACACUAACUGGAGGACCGAACCGACUAAUGUUGAAAAAUUAGCGGAUGACUUGUGGCUGGGGGUGAAAGGCCAAUCAAACCGGGAGAUAGCUGGUUCUCCCCGAAAGCUAUUUAGGUAGCGCCUCGUGAAUUCAUCUCCGGGGGUAGAGCACUGUUUCGGCAAGGGGUCAUCCCGACUUACCAACCCGAUGCAAACUGCGAAUACCGGAGAAUGUUAUCACGGGAGACACACGGCGGGUGCUAACGUCCGUCGUGAAGAGGGAAACAACCCAGACCGCCAGCUAAGGUCCCAAAGUCAUGGUUAAGUGGGAAACGAUGUGGGAAGGCCCAGACAGCCAGGAUGUUGGCUUAGAAGCAGCCAUCAUUUAAAGAAAGCGUAAUAGCUCACUGGUCGAGUCGGCCUGCGCGGAAGAUGUAACGGGGCUAAACCAUGCACCGAAGCUGCGGCAGCGACGCUUAUGCGUUGUUGGGUAGGGGAGCGUUCUGUAAGCCUGUGAAGGUGUGCUGUGAGGCAUGCUGGAGGUAUCAGAAGUGCGAAUGCUGACAUAAGUAACGAUAAAGCGGGUGAAAAGCCCGCUCGCCGGAAGACCAAGGGUUCCUGUCCAACGUUAAUCGGGGCAGGGUGAGUCGACCCCUAAGGCGAGGCCGAAAGGCGUAGUCGAUGGGAAACAGGUUAAUAUUCCUGUACUUGGUGUUACUGCGAAGGGGGGACGGAGAAGGCUAUGUUGGCCGGGCGACGGUUGUCCCGGUUUAAGCGUGUAGGCUGAUUUUCCAGGCAAAUCCGGAAAAUCAAGGCUGAGGCGUGAUGACGAGGCACUACGGUGCUGAAGCAACAAAUGCCCUGCUUCCAGGAAAAGCCUCUAAGCAUCAGGUAACAUCAAAUCGUACCCCAAACCGACACAGGUGGUCAGGUAGAGAAUACCAAGGCGCUUGAGAGAACUCGGGUGAAGGAACUAGGCAAAAUGGUGCCGUAACUUCGGGAGAAGGCACGCUGAUAUGUAGGUGAAGUCCCUCGCGGAUGGAGCUGAAAUCAGUCGAAGAUACCAGCUGGCUGCAACUGUUUAUUAAAAACACAGCACUGUGCAAACACGAAAGUGGACGUAUACGGUGUGACGCCUGCCCGGUGCCGGAAGGUUAAUUGAUGGGGUCAGCGCAAGCGAAGCUCUUGAUCGAAGCCCCGGUAAACGGCGGCCGUAACUAUAACGGUCCUAAGGUAGCGAAAUUCCUUGUCGGGUAAGUUCCGACCUGCACGAAUGGCGUAAUGAUGGCCAGGCUGUCUCCACCCGAGACUCAGUGAAAUUGAACUCGCUGUGAAGAUGCAGUGUACCCGCGGCAAGACGGAAAGACCCCGUGAACCUUUACUAUAGCUUGACACUGAACAUUGAGCCUUGAUGUGUAGGAUAGGUGGGAGGCUUAGAAGUGUGGACGCCAGUCUGCAUGGAGCCGGCCUUGAAAUACCACCCUUUAAUGUUUGAUGUUCUAACGUGGACCCGUAAUCCGGGUUGCGGACAGUGUCUGGUGGGUAGUUUGACUGGGGCGGUCUCCUCCUAAAGAGUAACGGAGGAGCACGAAGGUUGGCUAAUCCUGGUCGGACAUCAGGAGGUUAGUGCAAUGGCAUAAGCCAGCUUGACUGCGAGCGUGACGGCGCGAGCAGGUGCGAAAGCAGGUCAUAGUGAUCCGGUGGUUCUGAAUGGAAGGGCCAUCGCUCAACGGAUAAAAGGUACUCCGGGGAUAACAGGCUGAUACCGCCCAAGAGUUCAUAUCGACGGCGGUGUUUGGCACCUCGAUGUCGGCUCAUCACAUCCUGGGGCUGAAGUAGGUCCCAAGGGUAUGGCUGUUCGCCAUUUAAAGUGGUACGCGAGCUGGGUUUAGAACGUCGUGAGACAGUUCGGUCCCUAUCUGCCGUGGGCGCUGGAGAACUGAGGGGGGCUGCUCCUAGUACGAGAGGACCGGAGUGGACGCAUCACUGGUGUUCGGGUUGUCAUGCCAAUGGCACUGCCCGGUAGCUAAAUGCGGAAGAGAUAAGUGCUGAAAGCAUCUAAGCACGAAACUUGCCCCGAGAUGAGUUCUCCCUGACUCCUUGAGAGUCCUGAAGGAACGUUGAAGACGACGACGUUGAUAGGCCGGGUGUGUAAGCGCAGCGAUGCGUUGAGCUAACCGGUACUAAUGAACCGUGAGGCUUAACCUU
rnacentral:rRNA from 1 species